GCCGGGCACUCAGCUGGGCCGCCUCUCUGUGUUGCAGGUGACGGAGCGAGGCCACGAGGACGCGGCUCCUCCCCGGGACCGUGGGGGACAUCCCCACCCUCCGUCCCAGGGAUCCCCAUGAUCCCUGUGGAUCCCUGUGGAUCCCCAUCAUCCGUCCCAGUGGAUCCCAGUGAUCCCCGUGGAUCCCCACCCUCCAUCCCAGUGAUCCCUGUGGAUCCCCACCCUCCGUCCCAGGGAUCCCCAUGGAUCCCAGUGAUCCCCAGGGAUCCCAGUGAUCCCCACCCUCCAUCCCAGUGAUCCCCGUGGAUCCCAGUGAUCCCCACCAUCCAUCCCAGUCACUCCCAGUGGAUCCCAGUGAUCCCCACCAUCCAUCCCAGUCACUCCCAGUGGAUCCCAGUGAUCCCACUGGAUCCCCACCCUCCAUCCCAGUCAAUCUCAUUGAUCCCAGUGGAUCCCAGUUAUCCCAGUGGAUCCCCACCAUCCAUCCCAGUGGAUCCCAAUGGUCCCUGUGGAUCCCCACCAACCAUCCCAGUCACUCCCAGUGGAUCCCCAUGGAUCCCCACCAUCCAUCCCAGUGGAUCCCAGUGGAUCCCCACCAUCCAUCCCAAUCAAUCCCAGCGGAUCCCGGCUGCUGCUGGGGUGGGGCAAGGUCGGUUUUCGCUCUGCACGUGAAGCUUAUUGAAAGGCGGGGAA
rnacentral:lncRNA from 1 species